UCCGGUUUGUCACCGGCAGUCUCCAAUGAGUCCCCGGCAUUACCCGCUGGCAACAUUGGACAGGGGUUGCGCUCGUUGCGCCACUUAAGGCAACACCUCACGACACGAGCUGACGACAGCCAUGCACCACCUGCACACCAGCCACAAGGGAACCGACAUCUCUGCCGGCGUCUGGUGCAUGUCAAGCCCAGGUAAGGUUCUUCGCGUUGCGUCGAAUUAAACCACAUACUCCACUGCUUGUGCGGGUCCCCGUCAAUUCCUUUGAGUUUCAGUCUUGCGACCGUACUCCCCAGGCGGAAUGCUUAAUGUGUUAACUUCGGCACCAAGGGUAUCGAAACCCCUAACACCUAGCAUUCAUCGUUUACGGCGUGGACUAC
rnacentral:misc_RNA from 1 species